rnacentral:rRNA from 1 species
GAAGUUGGAUUCGCUAGUAAUCGCGCAUCAGCCAUGGCGCGGUGAAUACGUUCCCGGGCCUUGUACACACCGCCCGUCAAGCCAUGGGAGCCGGGGGUGCCUGAAGCUCGUUACCGCAAGGAUCGACCUAGGGCAAAACUGGUGACUGGGGCUAAGUCGUAACAAGGUAAC